rnacentral:rRNA from 1 species
AUUGAACGCUGGCGGCAGGCCUAACACAUGCAAGUCGAGCGGAUGAGUGGAGCUUGCUCCAUGAUUCAGCGGCGGACGGGUGAGUAAUGCCUAGGAAUCUGCCUGGUAGUGGGGGACAACGUUUCGAAAGGAACGCUAAUACUGCAUACGUCCUACGGGAGAAAGUGGGGGAUCUUCGGACCUCACGCUAUCAGAUGAGCCUAGGUCGGAUUAGCUAGUUGGUGGGGUAAAGGCUCACCAAGGCGACGAUCCGUAACUGUCUGAGAGGAUGAUCAGUCACACUGGAACUGAGACACGGUCCAGACUCCUACGGGAGGCAGCAGUGGGGAAUAUUGGACACUGGGCGAAAGCCUGAUCCAGCCAUGCCGCGUGUGUGAAGAAGGUCUUCGGAUUGUAAAGCACUUUAAGUUGGGAGGAAGGGCAGUAAGUUAAUACCUUGCUGUUUUGACGUUACCAACAGAAUAAGCACCGGCUAACUUCGUGCCAGCCGCCGCGGUAA